AGUUCUUUUGGAUGGGGUGUUCCUCACUUUCAGGGCGGCUUUACAGUCCACAGUCACGAAAGACUCUAACUCAGUUGCUCUAAGCCAUGCAAUCAGCCCUUCUAGAAAAUUUCCAAGAUUAAGAGGACUGCUCUCCGGCUGGAACAGCAGCCGGGGCCUGCUUUCCAAACUCACAAAAGAGAACACCACACACAUAGAAAAUGUGACGGGUCUGACCGGCCAGAAACGUCUUCUCGCCCUCUGAGACAGCUUCUCCAAUAACGAAGGAAAGCCCAAGCACCCGCGGCAGCCCCACGGCCCGGCACCAGAGCCAGCCCCGCCGUGCUGUUCCCACGCACCGCCGGGACGGGCGGGCAGCGCCGGCAGGCUCGGGACAGGACGGGACGGGACGGCGGCUCCUUCGCGCCGGGUCGGGCAGGGGUAAAUCGCUCUUCUUUCUGAUAGCUGGGGAACCAGAACUCACACGAAGUUCCCCUUUUUUUCAGUCACCCCCUCCCCAGGUGUAUGCUUCUGUUUAUUAUUACGACUACGACUAUUUCUGAACAGGAGAAGCGGAGGUGUCCGGGUCAGAGCGACAGCGGGUGACCGGAGCGGCGCUUACUCGGGAACCCCGCGGCUUUUCCCCGCCGUCCCGGUACAGGGGAGCCGAGAGCGGGUGUGCUGGGCUGAGCCGGGGAGUGCUCUCCGGGGAGGGACUGGGAAACGUGGGAAGGGGGGAAGAAGAAAAAAGAAACACUAAAGAAGAGAAGCACAACCGAUGAGAUGUGCCAAGGCUUAUUCCCUUUUAUUUCCUCCACCCCCACAAAAGAAAAUAAGCCAAGAAUCAGGAAGUCAGGGCUGCGUGAUCGCUGCUACAGGUUUGGUUUUCUCCCCAUUUCUCGCCUCUCUCUGUUUUGAGGGUGGGUUUUUUGUUUUGAUUUGUUUUUUGUUUUUUUGUUUGUUUUUUUUUUUUCUUAGGGAAAUAAGUAGUUGGGACUUUCCCUCCGCCUCUCCCCACGGGAGGCCGCGGCACGCAGCCGCCCGCAGCUCCGGCUCCCUGGUCUCCCGGUACGCAGCCGGCAAAGGGCGGCGGGACCCCCGCACGCUCGCCCCCCGGUCCCCUACCUUUCUUUCCCUCCACGGCGAGGCAGAGAGCGAGGCGCCCCAGCAGCAGCACCAGGACAGCGGCGCCGCGGGGCCCGGCGGCAGCGACGGGGCUGCGGCCGCCCAUGCCGCGGGACCGCCGCUCCUUCGGCGGAGUGCCUGGGGGGUCGGACGGGACGGGCGCACGGAUGGUUCCGCGGAGCCGCUCCUGCUCCCUCAGCUCUUCUCCCGCGGCAGCGAUCAGCUCCUCUCCGGCGCUCUGCCCUGCGCGGCUCCGAGCAGCAUGCUGGAGGGCGGCCGUCGAGGUCUGCGCGCACACGUGCGUGCCCCGCUGCGGGCGGGCUGCUGCCUUCCUCCUCCUCUUCCUCCUCCUCCUCCUCCCGCCUCUGCUCCUCCUGCUGCAGGCGGCGGCGGAUGCACAGGGGUUGCGGAGCGGCUGGAGCCGGCUGUGGGACGGGGUGCGCCCGGCUGAGCUCUCCACUCGGUCGCCGAGCGCAGGGGCUCCCUCUGGGGACGCCAAGGAGGAGGAGGAUUGGGAGGGAGCAAGGAGCAGAGGGGAGGAGAAACCGGCAGUGCCGUCCCCGCCGAGGUGGAGAAGGGGCGGGCCCCCCACCUGUCCAGGAAUAUAGGAUGAGAGGAGGCUGUUUCUCUGGAAAGUGGGAGAAAGCACUGUCUUGUCUCUCAGGUGUUUGUAGGGCCGAGGCAUCUAUGGCACAGAGAGAGUGAGGCAAGCUGGCAGCCCUGAGUAAAGACACAAAGAAUGUGAAAGUUUUCUGCAGCAUGUUGGAGACUGUCAACAAAUGUGACUAAGCAGAAGAGCAUCUUCCAGAAGUCAGAGAUGUCACAAAGUGCUUGAAUUUCCAGCAAUGGCAUCUUUCUUUUCUAAUGAGGAGGAGCCAAUGUAAAUGCCCCUGAGGAAGGCCUUAGGGCAGGUUGACCAACACAGCAAGUUACCACUGAGAUUUGGGUAAAUGACUUGGUGUUGGAGGAUUGGAUUUGUGAAGUAAAACAGCUUCAACAUAUGUCCUGUCAUCAUCACUGCAUGUAUUUCUGGGCAUUUCAGUUCAGACUGCUCCUUGUGAUCCUGUAGACUGAAUAUCUACUACUCAUUGGGGUAUGCUACAUAUGCCCCUGGAGCACAUCUUUCAGCUUAGCUCUUUUUGGAAGAAACAGGUUUUGCACCCAAAGCCCAUGCCAUGAUGAGGGUCAGCCUCAGAAGCACACUCCUGAUCCAUACCAAAAUGCUUUUACAAAUGCUUGCCCAAAAUCUGCAGUUUCCAGAAAAAAAAAGAGAAGCAAUAAAAUAUUUUUGUUCCUACAGAAGUAAGAAUUUUAAUCUUGAGACGGCAAGACAAGACCUAGAACUUCAGUCUUUGAGGUUUCCAAACUGGGCUGACCCCAAACCCAGAACAUAAACAGACCCAGUCUUUUAUGGGUUACCUAGGAAACCGCUUGAUAUGAAAAUGGCAAUGGCUUGAGAAUGCCAAGCACUUCCCAUUACUCGGUGGUACUGCAAGGUAAACAGCAUACAUAGGACUUGUAAUGAAAAGAACAGGCUAAAAGCAGCCAGGCAGCUCUUCAGGGGGCCAUUACAGUGGCACACAUCAGCAGGCAGGCACGGUGGGAGCAAGGGCUAGCCACUGCAUCCACAGAAAUAAGGUGCUGCAACUGAGGACGAAGUUAAUUAGUCCACAAACCAGAUAAUCAAGAGCUGACAUCCCAUUUUAGGUGCUGUCUAUACAUGGCAACAAAAAGGGGUUGUGAGGGGCCCCCUGAAUGCUCUGAGCUUUUUCUUCCUUCCUAUUUAUAGCAUGGUCCCCAACACACCUCAGGAUAUCUAUUUGAUCUCAGCUCUCCAGUAUUUACUUCUUGAGCUCCCAACGGCUUUGAUGGCAGUACUCCCUUUCUGUUCAGACAGAUGAGCAAUUCUUUGGGCAUUUCAGUAAACCUUCCAGAGGUAAUUAAGAUAUGGCUGUCUCUGUAGCUUCCUCUUCUCCAAACUCAGAGUCAGUCCUUAAAAUCCUCACGUGACUUGACAGAGAGAGGAUGUGAACCUAUAAUCAAUUCCGUGUGCACACUCCCACCUCCCUCAGACCCCCAGCUACCAGUGUGAGAUAUCCUGCACUGCUGGCAAGAACACAAUAUCCUGGUGUAAUAGAAAGCAUACCAUAAAAGAGCCCAGGGAUAUAUGAGGAUAAAGAGACCUGCCUCCUGCCAAUUUUUUUUCUGAAACAGUUUAGAUUGGAUAGGCUACUUCACAUUCUCCAUCAUCCCGUCUUCAUAUGCAGCUCCCCAAACUUACAAGCUCCUCGUCAUUUGAUUUCAUGCAUUACUUCCUUUCCCAGCCAUUUCUGCAGAACUAAAGACCCAAUUCACUUUAAAAAAUGAGACCCAGUGCAAGGCAUUAACUUUUCCAGACCUGCUUCCUUCCUGACCUCACUGCUUAUUUGACUGUAAAACAACUGAUGCUGCAGUUUUCAAAGAGGCGAGUGUGGACCACAAUUUCUAUUCCCAGUCUGUGGGAGUGGGAAAGUGACUUUGGCAUAAAUACAUGCAAUUUGAUACUUUAAAUAUAUUUUAAACCAGCUCCUUUUCCUUAAGCCUUAUUUCCUCUGAAGAUAGAAAUUUAUCACCAAUGACUCAAGCUUCCUAAAGGUUUUAUCAGUUUAAACCUCAAUAAUGUUCUUCCUUCAUGGAUUUAUGCUACAUUGCCUAGCUCUUGCUUAUCCAGCCAGCACUUGCUCAUGCAACCCAAUACUUUGGCUUUUCUGGCUUAUUUGUGUGACUGCUUUUUCUUUGUCUGCCUUGCCCAAUCUAUUAAUUUGAGAUGAGGGUCUUGUGGAAAUGAAUAAGUCUGCAAAUAGGUGAGCUAUUUAAAAUCUUACCUGUUUUCUACAUGGCUGCAGAAUACAGAAGUGCUUCUCCUACACGGAGCAGGAAACAAAUUCCUGGAGCUCCCAGCGGUGGAACUAUUGGAGACUGUUUUUCUACAAAUGAUUUUCCUUUCUCCUUUUGUUGCCUGUCAUCUGCAGUACAUUCCUGUGCCCUCCAACACCAGCUGGAUUAGAGGCAGCUGGUAUGGAGGUGUAUCCGUGGUGAUUGGCCACAUGGGCUGAUGGUGAUACAACAGCUUCAGCAUCUCCUCUGUACCUACCACCUGAUUUCACAAGGCUUGGGAGGUCCUUGCUCUUCCAUGGUAUUUGGUUAAAAUUAGUUAACAGGAAUGGGGAUCAAUAGAUGGAAUGACUGCAUGAAUCUCUCUUCCAAACUGAAAAAUCGGGGGCUGGCAAGAAGCUGUGGUUGUGUGACAUGAAACAGCUGAAAUGCAUCCUUGAUGUCCUUUCUAGCGCCUCAGGAAUAAUGACAGGUUGAGAGAGUGCAACUCUGUGACCUUAUUUGAAUUGGAGCACACUGCAGUGUGUCUGAACAGCUCUCUCCAGGCUUUUUUUGGUAAGUUUAAAGAGACUGUAUCAGGACAUCAGUGUGGUCCAAGGUUACCAGAGUUGUUACGGCUCAUGGUGGAGGCACAUGUGCUCCAUGAUUGUGAUGUUUGUCAUUCACAGAUCUGCUCUUGACCUUUUUUUUAAUCUCUGCAUCUCACCCUGAAGCUAACAUAAAGUGCUACAGAAGCCAGGUCUACUUGAGCAAGCCCACACAGAAGUCAGAGGGCCUCCUUGGAGAGUCGGCUGCUAGCUCACAAGGACUUCCCUCAGGAAAGGAAAACAAGGAAAUUGUGUUUGUUUUGCACUUUCUCAAGAACCAGAAGACUGACCAUAAGUGAACAGAAGUCUUGUCUGAGUAUGGAGAAGGAAGUAAGGGGAAAUAAGAAUUACAAUGAAAAAGUCUCAAAACCUCACAA